GCCAACUCCUACGGGAGGCAGCAGUGGGGGAUAUUGCACAAUGGGGGAAACCCUGAUGCAGCGACGCCGCGUGGGUGAAGAAGCGCCUCGGCGCGUAAAGCCCUGUCAGCAGGGAAGAAAAUGACGGUACCUGGCUAAGAAGCCCCGGCUAACUACGUGCCAGCAGCCGCGGUAAUACGUAGGGGGCAAGCGUUAUCCGGAUUUACUGGGUGUAAAGGGAGCGUAGACGGCAUGGCAAGUCUGAUGUGAAAACCCGGGGCUCAACCCCGGGACUGCAUUGGAAACUGUCAGGCUAGAGUGUCGGAGAGGCAAGUGGAAUUCCUAGUGUAGCGGUGAAAUGCGUAGAUAUUAGGAGGAACACCAGUGGCGAAGGCGGCUUGCUGGACGAUGACUGACGUUGAGGCUCGAAAGCGUGGGGAGCAAACAGGAUUAGAUACCCGGGUAUU
rnacentral:rRNA from 1 species